rnacentral:rRNA from 1 species
UCCUGGCUCAGGAUGAACGCUGGCGGCGUGCUUAACACAUGCAAGUCGAACGGAGCUUAGAAGGAAGCUUGCUUUCAUUUAAGCUUAGUGGCGGACGGGUGAGUAACGCGUGAGCAACCUGCCCUCGAGUGGGGAAUAACAUCGAGAAAUCGGUGCUAAUACCGCAUAAUGUCGAGAGACCGCAUGAUCUUUCGACCAAAGGAUUUAUUCGCUUGAGGAUGGGCUCGCGUCCGAUUAGUUAGUUGGUGAGGUAACGGCCCACCAAGACUUCGAUCGGUAGCCGAACUGAGAGGUUGAUCGGCCACAUUGGGACUGAGACACGGCCCAGACUCCUACGGGAGGCAGCAGUGGGGAAUAUUGGGCAAUGGGCGAAAGCCUGACCCAGCAACGCCGCGUGAAGGAUGAAGGUCUUCGGAUUGUAAACUUCUUUGAUUGGGGAAGAAUAAAAUGACCUACCCAAAGAACAAGCCACGGCUAACUACGUGCC